GGGGGAUAACUAUUGGAAACGAUAGCUAAUACCGCAUAAGAGUAGAUGUUGCAUGACAUUUGCUUAAAAGGUGCAAUUGCAUCACUACCAGAUGGACCUGCGUUGUAUUAGCUAGUUGGUGGGGUAACGGCUCACCAAGGCGACGAUACAUAGCCGACCUGAGAGGGUGAUCGGCCACACUGGGACUGAGACACGGCCCAG
rnacentral:rRNA from 1 species